rnacentral:rRNA from 1 species
CCUACGGGAGGCAGCAGUGAGGAAUAUUGGUCAAUGGGCGAGAGCCUGAACCAGCCAAGUCGCGUGAAGGAUGACGGCCCUACGGGUUGUAAACUUCUUUUGUCAGGGAGCAAUUGGGUCCACGCGUGGGCUUAGCGAGAGUAACUGAAGAAAAAGCAUCGGCUAACCCCGUGCCAGCAGCCGCGGUAAUACGGAGGAUGCGAGCGUUAUCCGGAUUUAUGGGGUUAAAAGGGUGCGUAGGCGGAAUAGCAAGUCAGCGGUAAAAAUUCGGGGCUCAACCCCGUUGUGCCGUUGAAACUGAUGUUCCUGAUUGGGCGAGAAGUAUGCGGAAUGCGUGGUGUAGCGGUGAAAUGCAGAGAUAUCACGCAGAACUCCGAUUGCGAAGGCAGCAUACCGGCGCCCAACUGACGCUGAAGCACGAAAGCGUGGGUAUCGAACAGGAUUAGAUACCCUAGUAGUC